GUAAUAGCUCACUGGUCGAGAGGUCCUGCGCCGAAAAUGUCCGGGGCUGAAACACGACACCGAAGCUGAGGAAUGUCUGAAGACAUUGGUAGAGGAGCAUUGGAUACGCGACGAAGCAGUACCGGAAGGAGCUGUGGAGUGUAUCGAAGAGAGAAUGCCGGAAUGAGUAGCGAGAGAAAGGUGAGAAUCCUUCGGCCGAAUAUCUAAGGUUUCCAGGGUAAAGCUGAUCUGCCUGGGUAAGUCGGGGCCUAAGGCGAGGGCGAGAGCCGUAGCCGAUGGACAACAGGUUGAGAUUCCUGUACUGCAGUAAGACAGAACUGUGGGGACACGUGUGGAGAGCAUAGGCGCGGAAUGGAAAGCCGCGUGCAAGCGGGGUAGGAGUCCUGUAGGAAAAACCGCAGGGCAAUCCGAAGACGUGAUGCGGACCGAAAGUUAGUAGGGAAGUAUGUGAGCCAUGCGUCAAGAAAAGCCGCUAUUGUUCUUAUUGUACCCGUACCGUAAACCGACACAGGUGGAUGAGGAGAGAAUCCUAAGGCCGACGGAAGAAGCAUUGUUAAGGAACUCGGCAAAAUGACCCCGUAACUUCGGGAGAAGGGGUGCCACAGAAAUGUGGCCGCAGAGAAUAGGCUCAAGCAACUGUUUAGCAAAAACACAGGUCUAUGCAAAACCGAAAGGUGAGGUAUAUGCUGACGCCUGCCCGGUGCUGGAAGGUUAAGAGGAGAGGUUAGCGCAAGCGAAGCUUUGAAUUGAAGCCCCAGUAAACGGCGGCCGUAACUAUAACGGUCCUAAGGUAGCGAAAUUCCUUGUCGGGUAAGUUCCGACCCGCACGAAAGGCGUAAUGAUUUGAGCGCUGUCUCGACAAUGCAUCCGGUGAAAUUGAAGUACCAGUGAAGAUGCUGGUUACCUGCGCCAGGACGGAAAGACCCCAUGGAGCUUUACUCCAGCUUGAUACUGGGAUUCGGUAUUGCAUGUACAGGAUAGGUGGGAG
rnacentral:rRNA from 1 species